rnacentral:rRNA from 1 species
CAGUCGCCGCGGUAAUACGUAGGGCGCAAGCGUUAUCCGGAAUUAUUGGGCGUAAAGAGCUCGUAGGCGGUUUGUCGCGUCUGCUGUGAAAACUGGAGGCUCAACCUCCAGCCUGCAGUGGGUACGGGCAGACUAGAGUGCGGUAGGGGAGAUUGGAAUUCCUGGUGUAGCGGUGGAAUGCGCAGAUAUCAGGAGGAACACCGAUGGCGAAGGCAGAUCUCUGGGCCGUAACUGACGCUGAGGAGCGAAAGCGUGGGGAGCGAACAGGAUUAGAUACCCCCGUAGUCCCUGUCUCUUAUAC